UUGUGAUGCAGGGACAAGUCACAGAGGUGUGAGCAAGCUGGGGAACCAGCCAAGCAUGGUAAAGAUCAGAGACUGGAAACACACACACACACACACACACACACACACACACACACACACACGGACAGACAGAAGAACAGGAUGGACUCCGGAGAAGGGGGUUGUGGAAGUGAGGAUUCUGCUACUAAGGAACCCUCCCAUUUUUUCUGCCCGUCUGUGAUCUCUGUGAGACCUCCAUACCUGAUGAGAGCCUGGGAGGCACAAGAGUCUGAGAAAUGCAAGACUCUAUAUUGUAUGAAGGAGAAACACAGAACUAACAUGGCCGUCCGGGGAAAAUUUCCUAGAAGAAAUGACUUCCAUGCUGAGAUAGAGUUGGCCUGGGACAGAGAAUACCAGUGGUGACCUAUGAUGUAGGCUCCAAUUACUGCUCCAGCACCUUGCCUGCCUGCAGCCAUCUCCCCUCUAUGAUGGUUAUGGAUAUACCCUCUGAAGCCUUACACCCCCACUAAACUCUUCCUUAAGUCGU